ACACGUGGGCAAUCUGCCCUGCACUCUGGGACAAGCCCUGGAAACGGGGUCUAAUACCGGAUACUGAUCCUCGCAGGCAUCUGCGAGGUUCGAAAGCUCCGGCGGUGCAGGAUGAGCCCGCGGCCUAUCAGCUAGUUGGUGAGGUAACGGCUCACCAAGGCGACGACGGGUAGCCGGCCUGAGAGGGCGACCGGCCACACUGGGACUGAGACACGGCCCAGACUCCUACGGGAGGCAGCAGUGGGGAAUAUUGCACAAUGGGCGAAAGCCUGAUGCAGCGACGCCGCGUGAGGGAUGACGGCCUUCGGGUUGUAAACCUCUUUCAGCAGGGAAGAAGCGAAAGUGACGGUACCUGCAGAAGAAGCGCCGGCUAACUACGUGCCAGCAGCCGCGGUAAUACGUAGGGCGCAAGCGUUGUCCGGAAUUAUUGGGCGUAAAGAGCUCGUAGGCGGCUUGUCACGUCGGUUGUGAAAGCCCGGGGCUUAACCCCGGGUCUGCAGUCGAUACGGGCAGG
rnacentral:rRNA from 1 species